AACGAACGCUGGCGGCAGGCUUAACACAUGCAAGUCGAGCGGACACUUCGGUGUUAGCGGCGGACGGGUGAGUAAUGCUUGAAGAUGUACCCUUUGGUAAAGGAUAACGUGUGGAAACGGACGCUAAUACUUUAUGUGCACUACGGUGGAAAGAAUUUCGCCAAGGGAUCAUUUCAAGUCGGAUUAGCUAGUUGUGGGGGUAAUGGCUUCACAAGGCGAUGAUCCGUAGCCGGCCUGAGAGGGUGGACGGCCACACCGGGACUGAGACACGGCCCGGACUCCUCCGGGAGGCAGCAGUGGGGAAUAUUGGACAACGGGGGCAACCCUGAUCCAGCCAUGCCGCGUGCGUGAAGAAGGCCUUGGGGUUGUAAAGCGCUUUUGUCAGGGAAGAUAAUGACUGUACCUGAAGAAUAAGCCCCGGCUAACUCCGUGCCAGCAGCCGCCGUAACAC
rnacentral:rRNA from 1 species